GUCUGACGGAGCAACGCCGCGUGAGUGAUGAAGGUUUUCGGAUCGUAAAGCUCUGUUGUUAGGGAAGAACAAGUGCAAGAGUAACUGCUUGCACCUUGACGGUACCUAACCAGAAAGCCACGGCUAACUACGUGCCAGCAGCCGCGGUAAUACGUAGGUGGCAAGCGUUGUCCGGAAUUAUUGGGCGUAAAGGGCUCGCAGGCGGUUUCUUAAGUCUGAUGUGAAAGCCCCCGGCUCAACCGGGGAGGGUCAUUGGAAACUGGGAAACUUGAGUGCAGAAGAGGAGAGUGGAAUUCCACGUGUAGCGGUGAAAUGCGUAGAGAUGUGGAGGAACACCAGUGGCGAAGGCGACUCUCUGGUCUGUAACUGACGCUGAGGAGCGAAAGCGUGGGGAGCGAACAGGAUUAGAUACCCUGGUAGUCCACGCCGUAAACGAUGAGUGCUAAGUGUUAGGGGGUUUCCGCCCCUUAGUGCUGCAGCUAACGCAUUAAGCACUCCGCCUGGGGAGUACGGUCGCAAGACUGAAACUCAAAGGAAUUGACGGGGGCCCGCACAAGCGGUGGAGCAUGUGGUUUAAUUCGAAGCAACGCGAAGAACCUUACCAGGUCUUGACAUCCUCUGACAACCCUAGAGAUAGGGC
rnacentral:rRNA from 1 species